UACGUAGGGUCCAAGCGUUAUCCGGAAUCACUGGGCGUAAAGCGUGCGUAGGUGGAUGUUUAAGUGUGAUGUUAAAUCGUGUGGCUCAACCAUAUCGAUGCAUCGCAUACUGGACGUCUAGAGGACAGCAGAGGCAAGUGGAAUUUGUAGUGUAGCAGUGAAAUGCGUAGAUAUUACAAGGAACACCAAUGGCGAAGGCAGCUUGCUGGGCUACUCCUGACACUGAGGCACGAAGGCCAGGGGAGCAAACGGG
rnacentral:rRNA from 1 species